rnacentral:rRNA from 1 species
UGAACGCUAGCGACAGGCCUAACACAUGCAAGUCAGGGGCAGCACAAGGAGCAAUCUGAGGUGGCGACCGGCGCACGGGUGAGUAACACGUAUGCAACCUGCCUGUAAGCGGGGAAUAACCCGUUGAAAGACGGACUAAUACCGCAUAAUACUAAAUUACUGCAUGGUAAUUUAUUUAAACAUUUAUGGCUUACAGAUGGGCAUGCGCAUGAUUAGCUAGUUGGAGAGGUAACGGCUCCCCAAGGCAACGAUCAUUAGGGGUUCUGAGAGGAAGGUCCCCCCACACUGGUACUGAGACACGGACCAGACUCCUACGGGAGGCAGCAGUGAGGAAUAUUGGUCAAUGGACGAGAGUCUGAACCAGCCAAGUCGCGUGCAGGAAGAAUGUCCUAUGGAUUGUAAACUGCUUUUGCAGGGGAAUAAAGUGUAUCACGUGUGAUGUUUUGUAUGUACUCUGCGAAUAAGGAUCGGCUAACUCCGUGCCAGCCGCCGC